AGGCCAUGUGAGGACACAGCAAGAAGGCGGCCAUCUGCAAGCCAAGAAGAGAGUCCUCACCAGGAACCAACUCUGCUGACACCUUGCUGUUGGACUUCCAGCCUCUAUAAAGGUUCACAAGCACACCACUGUUUACACCCAUCUAGAAGGCCCCUCCCAGCUGACAUCUUUCUGCCUACCUUUCAGGAAGACAGACGAAACUCUCUGCCUUCAGGUGGGGCAAGGUAGGUGGCCAGUCUGAUGAGAGAGGCGGAUGACAAACAUCAUGACAGAGGGUGAUGAAGA
rnacentral:lncRNA from 10 species